rnacentral:sRNA from 1 species
GGUCAUUUCUCCUGUGUUGGCCACCGGGGUCAGUCGACUCUUGGCGGCAGCAGGCGGAUCUUUUGGCAAGCACUCUUAGGGCUGGACGCCUUCGCCUCCAGCUAUCCAGCUAAUAGCAGAAGUGACUACGAAGUGUCUGGAGCCCCCUCCAGGCACCGACUUUACCCCGCAGCCAGUAUAAGCUAAGAGGUGGCAGAGGAACCUCCUCAAGGAGAGCUAAGCAGAAGGGCCCAGGAGCCCACCAGCAGCUCCAGGACAUCGCGUGAGCAAAGCUGGAUGCGCGCGCCCACCUGCAGCACCAGAACACCGCGUGGCAGAGGAGCCUCCUAAAGGAGCACCCAGAACACCAGCCGCGGUCACUUCCUCUGUUUUGGCCACUGGCUCACUGGUCUCUUAGCCUCGGCAAGCUGAUCUUCCAGGCUCACCUCUGGUGAGCACUCCUUGUGCUGGACGCCUUCCUACCAGCUAUCCAGCUAUUAGGAGAAGGGACUACAAGGUGCCUGUAGCCCCCUCCAGCACACACUAUCCUCUGCCAGCCAGUACAAGGCGGCAGAGGAGCCUCCUUCGGGAGAGCUAAGCAGAAGGGUCUGUGAGCCCAGAAGCAAACAGUUCCAGGACACCGCGUGAGCAAAGCCGGACCCGCGCGCCCACCAGCAGCACCGGGACACCGCGUGACCAACGCAGAAGGACCAGAGAGCGCCCAGAACACCAGCUGCAAUCACUUCCUCUGUAUUGGCCACCCCCUCGGGGGUCUCUUAGCCUGGGCGGCGGAUCUUCCAGGCUCACCACUGGUGAAUACACCUUGUGGCUGAGGAGCCUCCUUCAGGAGAGCUAAGCGGAAGGGUCCGCGAGCCCACCAGCAGCACCGGAACACCGCGUGGCCAAAGCAGAAGGACCUGGGAGCGCCCAGAACACCAGCCGCGGUCACCUCCUCUGUAUUGGCCACCUGCUCAGUGGGCUCUUAGGGUGCGCAGGCCCGUCUUCAAGGCUCACCUCUGGUGAGCACUCCUUGUGCUGGACGCCUUCCUACCAGCUAUCCAGCUAUUAGGAGAAGGGACUACAAGGUGCCUGUAGCCCCCUCCAGCACACACUAUCCUCUGCCAGCCAGUACAAGGCGGCAGAGGAGCCUCCUUCGGGAGAGCUAAGCAGAAGGGUCUGUGAGCCCAGAAGCAAACAGUUCCAGGACACCGCGUGAGCAAAGCCGGACCCGCGCGCCCACC